UAUUCUGCCCCAUGGGGAAGGAUGAGAAGCUUCGACUAAGGUUCGACUCGAGCGAAGCGAGAGAACGUU
rnacentral:sRNA from 1 species